ACUUUUAAUAAUGGAUCUCUUAGUUCUAGCAUUGAUAAAGAAUACAGCGAAAUAUGAUAAGUAAUAUGAAUUAUAGAAUUUAGUGAAUUAUCGAAUCUUUAAAUGUAUAUUAUGCCUGUUAGUAUUCUGGCGGGUAUGCCUGUUCGAGCGUUAUUUUAACCCUUAAGCCCCUAGGCUUGGUGUUAGGGAUCGGCCUGCCCCCUGCGGCGGGCUGUCCCCUAAAUCUAGUAGCGGUCUUACUGUAGCUUCCUCCGCGUAGUAGUAAUACUCGCGCUAGAGCGUAGCGCGGCUAUACCAUUAAACCCCCUACUUCUAAAAGGUUAACCUUAGAUUAGGUAGGAAUACCUACUAAACUUAAGUAUAUUAAUAAGUAGAGGAAAAGAAACUAAUAGGGAUUGCCCUAGUAAUAGUGAGUAAAGUGGUAAUAGCUUAAAUUUAAAAUCUAGCCCCUAGGUCUGAGUUAUAAUUUAUAGAGGAUGCUUUUAGUAUAGUACCUUCUAAGUUCUCUAGAAUAAGAUACUAUAGAGGGUAAGAGCCCUAUCUAGUUGGAUGCUAAACCUUUAUAAAGCUCCUUCGAUAAGUUAAGUAGUUUAGGAAUGCUACUUUAAAUAGGAGGUAUAUAUCUUCUAAAGCUAAAUAUUAGCUAGAGAUUAAUAGUAUAUAAGUAGAGUGAUCGAAAGAUAAAAAGCACUUUAAAAAGAGAGUUAAAAAGUAUAUAAAAUUAUUAAAAGGGAAGUACUUAUAAUUAGACUUAGGCCUAGUUAAUCAUCUAGGGUUCUCCCUAGUAUACUCUUCCGGCCUAGGCUAGUAUUAGUUUACUAUAGGGGAUAAAGGCUUUAGGAAUGUGGCUCCCUUAGGAGUGUUAUAGCCUAUUAUACAAUACCCUACAGCAGACUAAGGUUCGUGUAUUCAUAAGGAUGCUAGCGUAAUGGUUAUUAGCGACCUAUCUUAAAAUAUAGACUAAGGAGUCAUCUUCGUAUACAAGUAUUUAGGUAUUAAACCCUUAUAUAUAAUGAAAGUAAACGUAAGUAAGAGCUUUAGUAUAUUAUUAACUAAUCCUAAUGUUCUUGGAUGGAUUUGAGUAAGAGUAUAUAGGGCUGGACCUGAAAGAAGGUAAACUAUACCUAUAUAGGGUGAAGCUAGAGGAAAUUCUAGUGGAGGCUUAUAAUGGUUCUAACGUGCAAAUCGAUUGUUAAAUAUAGGCAUAGGGGCGAAAGACUAAUUGAACCUUCUAGUAGCUAGUUUCUGCUAAAGUUUCCCUUAGGAUAGUAGUAUUAAUCUUAGUUUUAUAAGAUAAAGCGAAUGAUUAGGGACUUAGGGGUGCUAUUUAGUCUUUAUCUAUUCUUAAACUUUAAAUAUAUAAGAAGCCCUUAUUACUUAGUUAAAUGUAGGCAUUUAAAUAUACUAAUACUAGUAGGCUAUUUUUAGUAAGCAGAACUAGUAAUAUAGGAUAAAUCGAAUGUAAGGUUAAGGUGCUAGAGUAAAUGCUUAUUAGAUACUAUAAAAGGUAUUAGUAUAUCUUAAUAGUAGGAUAGUAACUAUAGAAGUUAGAAUCCGCUAAGGACUAUAUAAUAACUUACCUACUAAAUAUACUAGUCCUAAAAAUAGAUAGUGCUUAAGCGUUUUACCUAUACCUUACCCUUAGGGUAGAAACGAUGCCCUAAGGAGUAGGUAGAUAUAGAGGUUAGUAAUGAAGCCUAGGGCAUAAGCCUAGGUCGAAUGGCCUUUAGUAUAGAUCUUAGUAGUAGUAGUAAAUACUUUAAUAAGAACUUAAAGGACUAAAGUAGGGAAAGGUUCUAUAUAAAUAGUAGUUAGAUAUAGAUUAGUCGAUUCUAAGCUAUAGGGAAGUUCUGUUUUAAAGGCGUACUUUAUGCUAUCUAGCGAAAGGGGAGCCGGUUAAUAUUCUAGUACUUAGAUAUAGGUUUUGCGUGGUAAUGUAACUAAACGUAGAGAUAAUAGCGGGAGCCCUAGGUAGAGUUCUCUUUUCUUCUUAAUGGUCUAUUACCCUAAAAUCGGUUUGUCUAGAGCUAGGGUUUAAUGGCUAGAAGAGCCUAGUACCUCUAUUAGGUCCGGUGCGCUCUUAAUAUCCCUUGAAAAUCUAUAGGAAGGAAUAAUUCUUAUGCUAGGUCAUAUUUAUAACUAUAGUAGGUCUCUAAGGUAAAUAGCCUCUAGUUAAUAGAAUAAUAUAGAUAAGGGAAGUCAGUAAAAUAGAUCCGUAACUUUAGGAUAAGGAUUAGCUCUAAGGGUUAGGCAUAUUAGGCUUUGGAUAGACGCCUUAGGAGCAGGCAGCCACUAGCCGGGCAACCGGCCGGUAGUAGCUAGUAUCUAGGUAUUAAUGUCCUUAGCAGGCUUUAGCUAUCUAGCAUGCAGUUAAUAACUAACUUAGAACUAGUAUAGAUAAGGGGAAUCUAACUAUCUAAUUAAAAUAUAGUAUUAUAAUAGCUAGAAAGUAGUAUUAAUAUAAUAUGAUUUCUACUUAGUGCUCUAAAUAUUAAAGUAAAGUAAUUUAACUAAGCGUAGGUAAAUAGCAAGAGUAACUAUAACUCUCUUAAGGUAGCUAAAUGCCUUAUUAUCUAAUUAGUAAUACGUAUGAAUGGAUUAAUAAGAUUCCUACUAUCCCUAUUUACUAUCUAGCGAAACUAUAGCUAAGGGAAUAGGCUUAGUAGAAUUAGUAAGGAAAGAAGACCCUAUUAAGCUUAACUCUAGUUUAAUAUUGUGAAAAGAUAUAGGAGGUGUAGAAUAGGUAGGAGCUUUAGCGCUAGUAAAAUACUACUACUCUUAUUGUUUUUUUACUUAUUCAAUGAAGUAGGGCUGGAUUUAUAUCUAACUUCUAGUUUUAAGGUCUUUUACGGGCUAACCUAGGUUAAAGAUAUUGUUAGGUAGGGAGUUUAGCUAGGGUGGUAUAUCUAUUAAACCAUAACGCAGGUAUCCUAAGGGGGGCUUAUAGAGAAUAAAAAUCUCUAGUAGAAUAAAAGGGUAAAAGUCCCCUUAAUUUUGAUUUUUAGUAUAAAUAUAAACUAUAAAAGUAUAGCCUAUCGAUCUUUUAGUCCCUUAACAUUUAAGGCUAGAGGUACUAGAAAAGUUACUAUAGGGAUUAACCUUAGUUAUAUUCAAAAAGGGUAAUUAGUCUUAAUAGUAUGCCUUUACUUCCUUAUAAUAUAAGGUUUAGUAGUUCAUUUAACCAUACUCUAAUUAAUUAUAACUAUAGUCCUAGGCUAAAGCCUAUUACUUUAGUUUAGUUAUUCAUUCUACUAUAUAGUACUAGUAAGCAAUAGUAAUACACCUAGAUACGGGGAACUCUUACUAGGUCUAUAGUACUAAACGCUUAGCAGUAAUACCCCAGCGCUCUAAUGAUAAGGGUAUGGUAAUAAUCUAUAGAAUAGAGACAAUCCGUAGCUAAGUUAGCUACUCCCUUAGGAGAUGCUAGCUAGUUUAAUGCUUACUAAGGUAUGGGUUGCCUAGGGAACCUAGUGGAACCCUGGUGCGGCUUAAGGUACGG
rnacentral:rRNA from 1 species